rnacentral:lncRNA from 1 species
GAAACCCUCACAUGCACGCUCUCUCUCUGUCAUGCACGUGCGUGCGCACAUACACACACACACACACACACACACACACACACACCCAUAUACACACACAACACUCAAGCACCCCUCAGGAAAGAAUGGUCUGAAAUGCUGUGUUUUCCCACUCUCUCUUUGCAUGUGCUGCUUAGAGAAGCCACCAGGACGCGAAGAACCCCAUGACUUUUGCAAGAUGUCCUGGGGACAAUCCUUUGAUUGCAAUUGCAUUGUCCUUUGCAAAUAGAAUCGGGCACAGAAUGUCUGCCUUUCCAAACCACAGCUGGGGAGUUUUAUGGACAGUCUGUACCAAUGACGAUGCUACCUUUCUAUCACAGUGCUCAGGGAUAAAGGAAACAAGGGACCAGACACACUAGGGAAUCAGAAUCCUAACACUUCUUCCUAGCUGUGUGUCCUUGGUCAAGUUCCUUAACCUCUCUGAGCCGUAAUUGGCUCAUUGGUCAAAUAAUAGAAAAACUCUUCUGAUUUGGAUUCUCUCCUUUAAUCCCCUGAACAAGCUUUGAAGCAGGUGUCAUUCCCAUGCUCAGUUGCUAGGCAAUGAGGAAGCUCUAGUUCAGAGAGAGUGAGGAACUUCCUCAAAGUGACACACCUGAACCUAAGUGGUUCACUGCCAGAGACCACAUCUCAGCACCUCUGCUCUCUACCUCCAGAUCACUAUGAGGACUCGAGGACAUGUUGCUGGCACAUAGAGUGUGGGUCCCUCCCUGUGCCCCUUCUGUCCUGAAGGAUCUGGAAGUUUGUCUGAUGCUCAGAGGCAGGUGGAGGCUCACACCAGCUGCAGGGGAAGGGCUCCCUGGCUUGGAGAGAGCGCUCAAGUCCAGGGCCUCAAGUUUCCCUUCAAAGGAGCUUUCCAAGAGCUGAAGUCCUGCUUUCCACCGCUUCCCACACCGCCGAGGCCCUGCACCACUGAACUAUAUAAUUGCAUAUUUGUUCCUGUUGGGGCUUGAAAUAUUAGGGCCCAGUGUAUAAUUCCAGGGCUCCAGCACUGAAGAUCUUGCCAUGUAACUGCAAAAUAAAAAGACAAAUAAUGUGACCAGGGCUGCAGCCCAUACCACUCUGCUUAAUGAAUGGGGAAUUUUAUUAAGAGCAGACAGAAAACAGUCAAACCUCCAGGGCCCAGCCUUGUCAGAGGAUCCUUAAAGGGAGGGUAAGUCUUCCUGAAUAAUCCUGUGCCAGGUUCAACUAAGUGUCUUUCAUCCUACCUUGUCUGUGGCCAUCUCUGAUGAUUAUGUGCUUGGCCAGCAAGCAGUGGGGUAGGGGCAGGGCCAUGGUAGUGUGGCAAAGGCUGAGAUGAUGGGACCAGGAAGGUGUUGGACCAGCAACCUGCUGGGUCUUCAUGUGUCAAGGACCUUCACCUCUAGAUAGAGAACACAUCCAGAGAUCAGAGUCCAGGGAAAUGGAGAGAAACUGGGCAUGUUGGAUAGCUGAGGUCCAGAGAAGCAAUUUACCAAGAGUCACUUAGGUACAAAGAAAAAAGCCUCAGAGUCUAAAGCACAGAGGGAGGCAGAGAGAUGGUCUCUGGUCAGCAGGGGAAGGUAAGGAAGAUAAAAGGCAAAGGGAAUCAAGGGGAGUGAAGCCUGAGCAAAAGUGGCACGUGCUCUUUGUGUGGCAUGUGCUCUUUGUCCAGCACGUGCUUGGAACCUGGCACGUGACUUUGCAAAGACCUAAGACCAAAAGGAUUGUCUACCUGGGAAAUGAGAGCAAGUGUCCAGAGAAGGAAGCUGCAGCAGGGUCCUGUAGGGCAAGGAACACUGGAUCAGAGUGUUAUUUAUCCACCUAUCACUUCAACAGCCCACUCUGGGUACCAGGCGCUGCGCUGAGGAUGCUACAGGAGUAACUCACUCAGUGCACCAUCCUGCUGUGUGUGUUCAGUUUCUCUGUCCAGUUUACCAGUGAGGAAGCUGAACCACAGAGAGAUUAAGUAGUUUGCCCAAGGACACAUUGGGAGUAAGUGGUCCUUCCUGGAAAGAAACCCAGCAAUCUGGCCCCAGAGUCCAAAGAUCAAAGUCAAGAGAGGACCGGAUGUGAUGCUCCCUAGGACAGGCCGGGGAUUGAAAGAUGUCCUAUGGACCACAGCCUCGGCACUUGGAGGGGUCAGCAUGGGAACUCAGGGUAAAGGGCAGAAGUAACAGAGCCUCUCCUCCUCUCUCUCCAUCUCUCCUUUCUCAUGUUGGUAAUGGGAAUGAUGGAAGGAAAAGGGGAAGAAAUACGAUGGCAUGGCAAAAUUAUGUCUAACCAGAAGUUUCUCAACUUAUCCACAACUUUCAGCAGCUUUUUCCAUCAUACAUGUGGCACGUGUAACUGGUGUCUGUUUUUUUGUGAGGUUUUUUUUUUUUUUUUUUGGUCUUUUGUCUUUCUAGGGCUGUACCCCUGGCAUAUGGAGGGUCCAGGCUAGGGGAUGAAUCAGAGCUGCAGCUGCUGGCCUACACCACAGCCACAGCAAUGCCAGAUCUGAGUCACGUCUACAACCUACAUCAGAGCUCGCAGCAACACUGGAUCCUUAACCCACUGAGCAGGGCCAGGGAUCGAACCUGAGUCCUUAUGGAUACAAGUCGGGUUCGUUAACCACUGAGCCACAAUGGGAACUCCCUGGUGUCUGUUAAAUAAGUCCUCAUAUACAUCUUUCCUCACUUAACACCUGUGGGAAAGAAGGCUCUGCUUCCGUUUCUGCGUCCUUUGAAAAGAAGACAGGAUGUUGUGCUACAGUGAACAAAGUGCUGGAUAAAGGUGAGGUGGGGAUGGAGCGGGAUGUGUGGUGUGAUGGCACAUGGCUUCUGGGUCCCCAGGAAAAUCUCACUUGUGCAAGUUCUCCUCCUGGAUCCCUUGCCCAGCAUAGGUAUGGGGGCCCAGCUAGGCGUGGAGGCAACUGUGUUUCAGGGCAUAAGGGUCCCAGGGUGUGGGUGAGCUCCAGUUUCCAGGGAGUUAGCAGAGCUGGAGAUCCUUGUCCCAUGGCAGGUAGAGUUUCUCCUCCUUUGCUGGCUGGUGCCUGGAUGGGGCCAAGGCUACCUUCCCAUUUUCUGAAUUGUGGAUCUGGAGAAAAAUCCCUUGGCCUCUCAAACUUUCAUUUCCAGUAGUAUCAAAAAGCAGGUUUUUUUUCAGUGGUGCAUCUAAGGCAUAUGGAAGUACUCAGGCUAGGGGUGGAAUCAGAGCUGCAGCUGCCAGCCUUUGCUACAGCCACAGCAAUGCAAAAUCCCAGCCGCACCUGCAACCUAUGCUGCAGCUUGUGGAAACAACCCAUCAAGCAAGGCCAGGGAUGGAACCUGCAUCUUCAUGGAUACUAGUCUGGUUCUUUUCCACUGAGCCAACCGGGAAGUCCUCCAAAAGUAAUCUUUAUUUCCUGCUUUGGGGAUGCCUUCUAGGAUUUUGUGAGGCUGAAUGCACUAACUGGUGGUUGAGGGCUAACUUCGGCUCCUAUAUCCCCCUUGCCACCAACCGGUUUGCUCUCAGUGGACUGCAGUGCUGAGGCCACUUUUCAUCUCUGUAGCAUAAGCCCAGCAAAUAGGCUCUCUGGGACCCCUCAACUCACUUUUAGGUUCAAGAGAGAAACAGAAGAAAAACUGAAAGUGAUUUUUAAUACCACGACCUCAAAGUCAAACAUAAAGGACUUAAGGACCUCAAGGUCCCUAGACUCCCAGCCACUCCAUCUGCCUCAGACGCACAGGGGCUGGUGUGGCUUUAGCUUUGGUAUCAUCAGCCCUCUGGCCGGGGUGCACCCUGAGACCCUCCCAAGAUCUGCCUUCCACUCAUUCACCUGCUCUCUGCUUAGACCCUUCUCACACCCUGCAUGGGGUCUUCUGUGGGGUGCUUGCCUCCUUAGGCCCACUUCCUACCUUCUACAGUUAAGGCUUCUUUCACUAACAGCCAAGUUACCCACUGCAGGUGUCCACAAGGUGACCUUCAUUCUAAUGGGGAUCCUAGGCAGAGACCAAGUACGACCAAUUCGCAUCCUUUCCGUUUGGUGACUCAGAGCAUAUUUGCCUUCAUCCUGAAUCUUUAUCUACCAACAGGGGCUCCAAGAACACUCACCUUGGACACUUGAAGGAAGACCCCCAAACACAGCCUAUGAUGCUUAAGAACUAUGAUCUGUUUCAUAGGAUUGGGUCCUCCUACCCCCCAGUUUUGUGUAAAGACAUUCUUAAGGACAAUAGCACCAAGAUAUCAUAAAUACACUUAGACUCAGGGAUGAACUCUGUGUGUGUGUGUGUGUGUGUGUGUGUGUGUGUGUGUGUGAGCAUGCGUGAGAACACAGGUGUGUAUAAGAAUGGAAAACACACUGGGUUCUACCUGGAAAGACCUGGAUUCUCGGAUCUGUGCAUUGUUCAAAUGAUUCCCUAUGCCCACUUUCCACCUUGCAAAGUCAUCUGUCCUUUAUGAGUCCCCCAAAUACCUCCUUUAGGUUUUCAGGAAAUGCGUUUCACUCUAGUGAAACCACCAGGUAACAAUGUCACUUGGGCCAUUUCCCUCAAUGUUUCUAACUUCUGGGCUCUGAUCUGGAAAAGGCAGCUGAGCAUAUUUACCACAUAGGACCAUAGUGAUGAAUAAAAUAAAUGGACCCAUGUGCUGUUUUAGCUUAAAUCACAAGAGAAAAUGCAGCCUCGGUGUUCACCAUUCUCCCCCCAGAGCCCCAGCAAUUUCUCAGGAACAUCUGGCAAGUUCCAAUUGCAAAGUCAGGCCCUCAAGACGGAGCACCCAUCCUCAGCUGGUUCAAUGUCUAUGACUCUUAAAGCUCAGAGUUGACAUAUGAAGCUAGUGACCUCCUAUCAAGUGUCAGGCAUCCUGCUUCCUAAGACUGGGCCAGGAAGGCCCUUCUCUGUUGGUUGUACCCAAAAGGUCCAGUUCUCCCAACAAAGAAACUAAUGAGGGAGGGAAAACGUAUCCAUAUGGGGUAAAGGAGGGAUGUUUCCUCCUUCCUGAGGAUCCGAACCAGUACUUUUCUCCAUAAUGAGAUCCUACCCCUUGUUCUAUCUCUGUUUUCAUCAUCCGAGGUCUUGUUGGCCCUUUUUCAGAAGCUGGUGGGUCCUCAAGUGAAAAGACCUAUAUGGGAUUCUAAACAAAAAUCCAAUUAAGCUGCUGGGUGAGAAAUGUAAUUGCUACAAACAAAGCAUGUCAACUCUACAAAAUGCUAUUUUUUAAAAAGGCAAUGGCUCCCUGUUUCCGUGCAGAGACUUGGCAUGCCAAGGCUUUUAAGGGGAACAGGUACUGCUAAAGAUCACCAGGUCAUUCUGGUUCAGGGGAUGGAAAGAACCUGGAUGUUACAGGCCCUCUGGGACCCUGAGACGCUGGAGGCAGAAUCAGCACAUCCUCAUCCAGACACAGCCCUGCCCUGUUUACACCUCAGAUGUCUCCCUGGACAGAACAGGUGCACACGGAAUGAGAACACAGCAAAUUAUUUGUCGGGUCAGUUCAACAGGUCCCGCAGAAGUCCCUGUGUCAGAGACCUUUUUCAGGUAGCAUGUAGAUGUGAAAAAAAUCACAUGAAUAAUGAAACACUUUGUUCUUCCAUGCUUCAAGUUCUUUUCACAUGUGUUAAUUCCCAUUCAUUCCUACACUCUUCCUUGGAGCCGGGGUGGGUCAAGAGUGAACACGAUUAGCUCCAUUCCAUGGAGGGAAAACAGGAGGCACGCACUGGGGAGGCAGAGGGCUCAUGGUGAACCAACUCUGCAGGACUAUCAGUCCAGGGCUUACCCAGAGAGCAGGUCCUAAAUGGACCGAUUCACAAUAGGUCUGUAAGCAUGUGGCCCAUUUGGUCAAGGAGAGAAAAACAAAAGAAAAACAUCAUGCAAACCAGUGUGCAUUUGUUGUGUGAACCCUGAGUGGGAAGUGCAAAGGAGUCUGAGACUAUAAAGGCAGGGAGGGGUCCCCAUGAGCAGGCAAGGGUCCCAAAGAGACAGGCCAUGCCCCCUACCCCCACUCCGCCCUCGUCCCUGCCAUUCUUUCUCCUGGAGUUAACCUCUGAGGGUCUCUCUAUCGACUCCUGCCUAUGGAUCGCAAAACUUGAUCAAAGCUUUCCUCUCCUGGGAAGGCUGCUUCAACAGAAGUAGGAGAGGAGUUACAAGGGUUGGUCAGCUGGGGAGCUACUUAAACAACCUUCAACCAACCCUCUAGGCCUGUGCCGUCCGACUCAGCCACAGGUGGCUCUAGAGCUCCUGAAAUAUCUGCAUUGAGAUAGGCUGUGUCAAAGCUGCCCCAGAUUCCCAAGACUUCCUAUGAAAAAAAGGUGUUGAAUUUUUCAUCAAUCAUUAUAUUGAUUACCCGUUGAACUAAUGUUUUGGAUAUUUUGUAGUAAAUAACAUGUGUUAUUAAAAUUAAUUUCACCUGUUUCUUCUGACUGUUUAAGAGGUAGAGCUCUUGGAAUAUUAGAAAGGACCUAGGUGGCUUGCAUUUGCCGGUGACGUUGAAUUUCUGUUGAAUGGCGUUGCCCUAAGCAACGCCAUUCUGCCUGGUCCCUGAGAAAUCAGUCAUCAGAUCUCGCCCGCGGAAGUUGAUCUGUCCAGGUUAGCCCAUUGUACGUGUGACUCCUUGUGAUUUGGAUGGGACGGUAAUCUCCCUCCUCACUGAACAAGAAAACCAGGCUCAAAGGCACAGAGGAGCAUGUUCAAAGCCAUGGAGCCCCUGACGGUCAGACCAGGGCUUGCUUUAACAUCUCUUGAGUCCCAGACCUGUAUUUUUUCCACCAGCCAUAGGAUUCCCUUUGUUGUUAAAAGUUCAGCUCUUGGAGUUCCCUUGUGGCUUGCAGGGUUAAGGAUCUGAAGUCGCCACUGCUGCAGCUCUGGUUACAGCUGUGGCAUGGUUUCAAUCUCUAGCCCAGGAACUUCUGCAUGCUGCAGACAUGGCCAAAA